rnacentral:sRNA from 1 species
UUUUUUGUUACAUAUUAUAAAGUAUAUAAAUCAUCAUCUUAAAUU